UUGACCACAGAGUCAGGAAAAGCUAGGUGU
rnacentral:piRNA from 1 species